CUUUCUUGCCUUGGUUUUCGAAGAAUGUGGCCUGGAGGGCUGGUGGGCGGCGUGGCACGGCGCGGCGCAUGCGCGUUCUGGUCUGUUUUUCCCCGAGUUAGAGCGCGCGGGUGCGAGCCGGGAGGUGCGGCUGGGUUUGUUUCGCCGAGGGUCUCAGGAGAAGGAUAGAUGUAAGGCCUUGCUGCCCUGUUGCUUUAUUUCCCACCAUACCAUCACCCCAGCAUGAUUUGUCUCUUCCAGAAUCGAAGCUGUAAAACUACAAAUAGUUCUUCAAAUGGAGCCCCAGAUGCAGUCCAUGACUAAGAUCUACCGCAGACCCCUGGACCUGCCUGCUAGCCCAUGCCCUGAUGUUAAUGACAUCGAAGGCACCCCUCCUGAGGAAAUCUCAACCGCACGACCCCUACUAUGCCCAAUUCAGCACGAAACAGAGCGAUUGUCAGCCAACCUCCCCAACAGCACUUCGGUUUUCCUGUUGAGAAGGGGACUGAGAGACAGGACUAGCUGGAUUUCCUAGGCCGACUAAGAAUCCCUAAGCCUAGCUGGAAGGUGACCGCAUCCACCUUUAAACACGGGGCUUGCAACUUAGCUCACAUCUAACCAAUCAGGUAGUAAAGAGAGCUCACUAAAAUGCUAAUUAGGCUAAAACAGGAGGUAAAGAAAUAGCCAAUCAUCUAUCGCACAGGGGGAGGGACAAUGAUCGGGAUAUAAACCCAGGUAUUCAAGCUGGCAAUGGCAACCCCCUUUGGGUCCCCUCCCAUUUUAUGGGAGCUCUGUUUUCACUCUAUUAAAUCUUGCAACUGCAAAAACAAACAAAAAACCAAACAAAAAACACAAAAAACAAA